rnacentral:tRNA from 1 species
UCCCUGGUGGCUUAGUGGUUAAGGAUCCGGCAUUGUCACUGCUGUGGCUCUGGUUCAGUCCCUGGCCUGGGAA